UCUCAUAUUGUCUAGUGGUAAGGAUACCUGGCUCUCAUCCAGGAGGCCCGGGUUCAAUUCCCGGUAUGGGAA
rnacentral:tRNA from 1 species